rnacentral:rRNA from 1 species
AUUAAAUGAGAGUUUGAUCCUGGCUCAGGACGAACGCUGGCGGCGUGCCUAAUACAUGCAAGUGGGACGCAAGGGAACACACUGUGCUUGCACACCGUGUUUUCUUGAGUCGCGAACGGGUGAGUAACGCG